CGUUGUCUGUGUGGUUUACAAGUUUCUUGGCGAUAUGGGGGGAAAGUUCCUCACAUACCAACGGAAAAUGGGCUUCAUAUACAUGCUGCUGUCUCAUAAUAUGGCGAAGACGAGUCACCUGAAGGCCUAACUCGCCAUAGAAGACUGAAAGAAUUGUCCUGCAGGAUGCUGUGUCCUGCAAUCCUGUGUGCUGUGCUACAGACGCGUGUGGAGGUCAACCCAAAAUGGGCACAGUCUCACCACAGAAGAGUGAAAGAGGAUCCUGGCAGGGAGACGGUAGUGUCCUGCAGAAUGGUGAUGGGCCAAUCUUACAAGAGACCACAGAAAACUGAUAUAGUGAACUAUAGAAACAACAGUGCCUGCUGCAGUAUAACGAGGACACCCUGAGCAGAGAGCUCCAAUAGACCCAGGUCCAGUGUCUUGGCAGGGUGAAAUGGCACUGAUAUGGUGUCCUGCAGGAUGCUGUGUCCUGCAAUCCUGUGUGCUGUGCUACAGACGCGUGUGGAGGUCAACCCAAAAUGGGCACAGUCUCACCACAGAAGAGUGAAAGAGGCUCCCAGAAGUGAGACUGAAUGCCUGUUGCAGUAUGACGAGGACGCAGUGACCAGAGACCUUCAGUAGACCCUGCUGGCAUGAUUGGCGUCUGAAGAAUAUGAAAUCAACAGCAAUGUUUAUAAUGUUGUACAUACCUGUAUAGUCUGUAUUAAAAGGCAGUACCUGUAGUAUUUUUCCUCUUACUUUCAUAUUUACCACAUAUUUACUAUGAAUUGACAACUUUUACUAAAAUCCAUUUUUGCAUGUGCC